AAAUCAGUUAAGAUUUGAAAUUGUUUAACGUUUGUGGUAAAUAUGAAGCGCCUGUGGAGAACUUUAUGGUGCCGCUCCUUCUGCAAGCUCACAAGUUGAUGUCUCGCACAUCGGUUGGGGUGCUGGACUGGUCCUGGUCUUCCAAGGUUUUGUUGCGAGGAUUGCUCUGAUCCUGCUGUUGCUGCUUGUGCUGCUGCCGAUGUCCCUCUCUUAGACUGAACUGCAGCGCACUCUCAACAUCUAUAAACAGGAGUGGCACAUUUUCACUGAGGACACAACAGUGAGGAGGAAACAUCCCAUGCUGUGAGAAGAGAAAGUUGAGUGCCCGUGCGUUCUUUCUAUGUCUGACGAAGGCUGAAAACAUUGAGCUUUAGCAAACUGUGUUUUACAACAGACUACAGUGAGAUGCAGUAACUUUCAUGGCAAGGAUGGACACCGAUUCCCUCAGAGACACAACAAAAUCUUGUGGAAAUCUUGUGCCUUUCCAGAAGAGACGUUUUGAUCUAAACAUGAAGCAGUGCGGUUGAUGUAGGAUGGUCUUUUUACUGUGUGCUUGUACUUCAUGGCGAAAUACAUACAGCACAUCCAAUUGCCCGAUUGCGUCAUGCUUCCUCUCCACUAAUGCUGGCCCCUGCUCCGACUGAGGAGAACGAAGCCACGCCCCCUCCGACACGUGGGCAGCAGCCGUAUGCAUUUUGUCACCUACACCAGACGAGAUCAGAUGUGGACCAGCUCCGUGUACAGAGAGACACAACCUGAUCCGCACUCUCUCCCCAUCUCUGUGCAGGCGCCAUCAAUGAGCCAGCAGAGGUCGUAGUUGCAUCAGUCAUGAGAGAAUCCCUAUCCGACUCAAUACCCCACCCCUAUAUGAACAACAGGCCAGUCGUUGUUCAUGUGGCCGCUCAGCCCAGCUGGCAGGCAGAGCUGAGACUUGAUACGAUGUAUUGGAGAUUCCAGCUCUGGUGUGCUAGCGUGUGUUUUUACCGCUGCGGCCACCUUAAUUUUUUUAAAUAAAGUGUGACGUUUGUACUGUA